CCCUUUGCUCCUCUGCCCUAGAACUCGAGCCGCUGCUGUCGACCGAGAUUUUUCUGCCCUAACGCCAGUUGCCACCACCUCUGUGCCUGCCGACGCCGUUGCCCUAGUGCUCUCUGCCUUGAGCAAAUCCACGCAACCCAUUUGUGCUGGUAGCCACAGUUCUGGUGUGGAUCAACAAGCACGGCUACGAGUUGGCAAUUUAUUUAGUUGCUAGCGGCGACAAGUUGAUCUUCAGUUGUGCGGUUGACAGAAUCUUUAGAGUGGUGCAGAUUUAAAUUGGGACUUUGAUUCGAGACGAGUA